rnacentral:rRNA from 1 species
UGGGGAAUAUUGCACAAUGGGCGCAAGCCUGAUGCAGCCAUGCCGCGUGUGUGAAGAAGGCCUUCGGGUUGUAAAGCACUUUCAGCGAGGAGGAAGGUGGUGAGCUUAAUACGCUCAUAAAUUGACGUUACUCGCAGAAGAAGCACCGGCUAACUCCGUGCCAGCAGCCGCGGUAAUACGGAGGGUGCAAGCGUUAAUCGGAAUUACUGGGCGUAAAGCGCACGCAGGCGGUUUGUUAAGUCAGAUGUGAAAUCCCCGGGCUCAACCUGGGAACUGCAUUUGAAACUGGCAAGCUAGAGUCUCGUAGAGGGGGGUAGAAUUCCAGGUGUAGCGGUGAAAUGCGUAGAGAUCUGGAGGAAUACCGGUGGCGAAGGCGGCCCCCUGGACGAAGACUGACGCUCAGGUGCGAAAGCGUGGGGCAGCAAACAGGAUUAGAUACCCUGGUAGUCCAGCCGCUGUAAAACGAUGUCGAUUUGGAGGUUGUGCCCUUGAGGCGUGGCUUCCGGAGCUAACGCGUU